rnacentral:lncRNA from 1 species
UGAAAAGCAUAUAAUAAGAUAAAACAAAACCCACAGUACGAAAACCACUCACCACACCAAUGUAAAACCACUUCCUCUCUCCAUCUCUCUCUCUAAAAUCAAAGUCACGGACACCAUGGCAACCUCAUCAACACCAUCUACAACAAAAAGUCAUAGAUGAACCCUCUGUGUGUACCAUGUGCUUGGUUACUUGUACCGUGAUGACGAUCAAGACUUGUUAUGGCUCCGGCGAUCUUGUUAAGCGACGGUGACUGAGGUUCCUGUCGAUCGAACUUCUCCAUCGCCGUUUUCCGGCCAAAUGACAUUUUUUUUUCAAGUCACAAAACCAAAACCCAUGGCGGUAGUACCGGCUUUGGGAGAGAAAGAUAGAGAGAGGCAGAGGAAAACAGGAGAGAGUUUCGGCGAUUAUUGCUGA